rnacentral:lncRNA from 10 species
UGCGCCACCGUGCCUAGUUAAUUAUAAAACUUUUUUUAGAGAUGGAGUUUUGCUGUGUUUCCUAGGCUGGUCUCAAAUUCCUGUGCUCAAGUGAUAUGCCCACCUCAGGCUCCCAAAGUGCUGGGAUGACAGGCGCGAGCCACUGCACCUGGCCAAAAUAAAGCUUGACCUGAGUUGAUAUGAGGGUGAUGAGACUGAGUAAAAAGCCCAUAGGAUUCCAGCCUGUGUUCAUAAGAAGAAGCAUUUUAAUGGAGAGACUUUUUGUGAUGCGUGUACAGAGGACAUUAUUAGUGAAAUAACAGCAAACUUGCUAUUAAUGAGAUCUGCUCAAAAUCUCUAUGAGGUAGUGAAUGCCCCAUCAUGAAGAUUUUCAUGCAGAAUUGGGAUGACCUCUGUUCUUCAGACUCCAACAUACCAUCUUGAGAUAACCUCAGGCCCUGAAGUGUAUCGACAAGCAGAAUGAUCUCAGCCAAGUUGUAAAACUGUCUUUGAAAAGAAUAGCUGGAUGAAAAACAUUAGCAGCAACUGAAUCAAGAGAAAACGUGACUUCAAACUGAAAGGCACUCUCAUGGUAAAUACAUAGUAAAACCAUGUUCUGCAACUUCAUAUUUUCGUAAUGCUUUAAGCUACCCAAGGAGCCCAUGCAGAUAUGCAAAGCUACUCAUUGAGAAGCUCAGCUUAUCCCUACAUAUGCCAUCACCAGUUUUUCACUUAACGUUUUCUCCUCAACCCCUUUCUAUUUGGCUUCCAUUCUACUACUCACCAACCACCUUCAGUUUGCAAAAUCCUAUGCAGAUCUUACCUUAACUUUUCAGCAUCAUUCAGAUUUCAGAUGCUUUUAGAAUCAAACCUGGAAAGGAUACAAAAAGCAGAAGCAAAACCAACAUUUGGGAGAAGAACAGAUUAAGACAGUAGCUUAUAUUGAAACAUCACUUCUCAUUUGCUGUUUGGACAAUGGUGAUGGAACUGCUGCUUUAUUGCCCACGGAGAAGCGAAGUGAAGAGUCUAAAGUGGGUCUUGCAGUUACACUGGACAAAAGAAGUUUGAAACUGAGGCUUGGUCCUGAAGAAAACAUAGAGAAGCCUGACAGAUUAUAUAUAUUCACAGCUUUGACUUAAAGGUUGCUGGUUGACCAAUAAGUAAUACAAGAAGAAAUGGUCUUUUCUGGAAUUGUCCUUCUUUCCAGGUAUCAAUGGUGAGCAGAAGAGGAGCAGGGAAUGAUGAAAGACCACACAUUCUCCAAAAGUCACUAAGCACUGUCUGCAGAUGGAACAUUCAUAUUUUCACAUAGUAUAAGUCAUAUGAUCUUUGAUCCUCCAUGUAUUGCUAUCCAGCCAUUUACUUUAGAAUGUCAGCCUUUAUACUGAUAUCACACACAUGUUGUAAAAUGUAGUGAAGAUAAACGGGUGAAGUUAAACUUACAAUGCUUUUGCUGUUAUCCAUAAAAAUGCAAUAGGUAUUGCAUAGAAUUAGUUACAAGCACAAAACUGUGAUACCCUAUAUGCCCCUGUUACAAGAAAGUUGUCAUUUUACAUUAUGGGUAUUUAUUCGAUAUUUUCAUAGUUUAAUUACUAACAAAGCAUUAAUAAUGCCAGAUUGUGCUGACAAACAUUGCAGUCUCUGAAUAGGAGAAAGAAUAUAUUCUUUGCACCAUUAUACAAUGAUUUAGAACUUUAAUAGUGUGCUGGGGAAAAAACAUGUAUCUGUAACCUGAAAUAGUUGUUUUACCUCCCUGAGUACAAAAUAUGUCACACAUUCUCUCCUAAAUGUAUUCUCUAUUUUUACCAGUCAUUUUGUUGCUAAAAUGUAAGAUAUGGGGAUGGGAUGUGGGUGAUUGUCUCCGUCCUUUUGGGCUUCUAUAACUAAAAUACCUUAGACUGGGUAAUUUAUAAACAACAGGAAUUUAUUUCUCACAGUUCUGGGGGCUGGAAAGUCCAAGAUCAAGGCUGUGGUGGGGUUUGGCUGGCGAGGGCUCCAUCCUUCUUGCUAUAUCUUCACAUGGUGGAAGGAGCAAACAAACUCCCCCAGCCCUCUUUUACAAGGGCACUAAUAUUAUUUGUGAGGGCUCCACUCUCAUGACUUAAUCACCUCCCCAAAGACCCUACUUCUUAAUACUAACACAUUGGGGAUUAAUCUUCAACAUAUGAAUUUUGGAGGAACACAAACAUUCAGACCAUAGCAAUGUUUAUUGGGGUGAAUGCUCAUUUAACUUUUCCCAGAACAAUCCCUGUUAAGUCUGCUAACCUCCUGUAGUUAAUGAUAAAAUUUCCUUCAUUUUCCGAAGUGUUCUUGUUUGGAUUAUAAAUUAUGUAAUUACCCUAAUGACAAUUAACUAGACAUUUUUUUUCUUACUGUAUAGCACCAGUAUGGGCAAUUGCAGUGGCUUUCAAACUUGACUACAACUCAGGGAGAAAUACAUUUUUCAUCAUAACGUAGUACACACACACACACACACACACACACACACACACGCACACACACACACACAUACACUAGAUAAAGCAAAAGCUUUAGGAAAUGGUACUUGGAUAUUUUCAAAUAUAUUUUAGUCUGUUUUUUAAUUAAAAAUCUCUAGUCAUGAUACAUUAAAUUGACUUAUUGACCCACAGCUUGAAAAAACACCAAUAUUUUGGAUGUGUUUUAAGGUCAUAGAACACGCCUUCUGAUUUUUUUCCUUCCCUAGGUAAUCCUAUGCAAGUUGCCAAUCUUCUCUAAACAACACUCUUCUUCAUCUAUAAAGUAAAUAUUAAUACCUACCUGAAGGUGGCAGAGAGAGUUAACUGAGAUAAUUUGGUUAAUGAGCCUGAAAUCUAGUCAACACUUACUAAAGGUAAUUUCUUCUCCUCUCUUCCGCUUCUAAACCAACAGGACACAGCUGAAGUUCACAGGUUUGUAAAAGUGAAAAAAUAUUUUUCUUAACCCCCUGACCUCUAAAGUUUGGUCAGAGUGUUUAGCCACUGAUAAAACAUCUUUAAGCACUGUUACUUCUAUGUUCAACUAAAAGAGUCACUUUUCAGUAAUUUCCGGUCAAGCCCAUCACAAUAGCACUUGCAGCUUCUCAAAAGAAAAGAAAGAAAGAGAGAGAAAGAAAGGAAGAAAGAGAAUUGAAGGAGGAAAGAAGGAAAAAAAUCAUGAUGAAGAUUUUAAAACAUGUCUUAUUGAGGGAUGGGAUGGUGAGGAAGUUGAUUAUAGUGAUGGAUGUGACAGACAGGGCCCGUACUUCUGUUUCUGUUCUCAAACUAACAGUUUUCACACAUAACCGUUUUCACACAUAACACAUUAGUAGAAUUUCUUUUGAAUAUUUGCCUUGGAAAUAAAACAAUAAUAAUAUAGCAUUUAUUAUAUUUAUUAUAUAUAGAGUGUGUGUGUGUGUGUGUCUGUGUGUGUGUGUAUCCCACAUGUCCACAUGAGAAAUAAUGAAAGAAGAUGGAGCCCAAGUAAGAGAGUCCUGAUGCCCCAUAAUGCAGAGAGACAAAGAAGUGAUGAAAUCAAGUACUCUACCUCUGGGCCGCCAGAAUCCAGGCCUGGUUCCAGAGUCCUCUGGUUUUCACCGUGUUGGGGUGGGGCCUCCCCGGGUGCACAGCUUUUCUGCACUGGUUGGCAUCUACUGAACCUUAGGUGAUCACAGCAGUGGUAAAGACAAGCCAGCUUCCGUCUUUCCAUAGUUUGUUCCCCUGUACUUCAGGAGGGAGGGGAGCCCCUCUAUGGAAUGCAAUACACACUAGGCAUCCUAUCACUAUGUAAGAACUCAUCUUGCUCCCUCAUUUCACAUUACAUCUUUGACUGUCUUGCUCAGUUGUUUCACCUUGGCUAGUUUUUACUCUUUGGCGAGUACUCUCACAACUCUCUUGUAGGCAGGAGCCCAUUUUCUUUUUCUGAGUACUCUGGACUCCUUGCAUGGUGCUUCCUGGGCAAGGGGUGCUCAACAAAUUGUGCUGAUAAUUAAGUCAUUCACUCAAAAUAUAUUUAUUAAGCACCUAGUGACCAAGACAGAAAAAAGUUACUAUUGACCUUCAAAUCACCAAAUCUAAUGAUCAUUCCUUACUGCUCAUCUUCCUCCACCAUUGCUACCUUAGAGGCCUCCCGUGCCUGCCUCCAUUUCCCAGACUUACUGCUUGAUUCUCCCUGGCAAGCUUUCCCUUCACCAUUUUUUUUUCAGCACUUGUAAGGAACUGAAUCUGUCCCCAAUAGUACACAGUUUGAGUUAGAGCCAGGACUAGAACUCAGGCCUGCAUAUAAUCAAAGAUCAGAAAACGGCCAAAUCUUGGUGUUUCUAUUCACAGGGAGGAAACCCAGAUGGGCCUACUCACAAUACAUGCUUCCAAAUGAAAGAACGUUUUUCCCCCUAAGGACAUUGUUAGGACACUGUCUAGCUAGAAGAUAUUCAGAGAAAAUUCACUCCUUUACCUGCCCUAGGGAAAUGGGAAAAUUCAAUGUUUGAGCCAUUUACCCAAAAGAGUAAUCCAUGCUGGAAAUUUUGCUGAAAGUAUUCUUUUAAAAGGCCCUUCUGUCUUUAUUAUGACGAUAAGACUGCUGAGUCUGCCCAAGCAUAUGAGGUUGCAAAGAAUAUUUCUUUUUAUUCAGACCUUGUAUUCUCUACAUGAUGAAAGGAUUCUUGGCACAUAGUUGGCAAUUACUAUCUAGGUUUUCUGCAUAACAUAGGUUUUUUAAACUAAGCUUUUAACUCAAUAGACAUCAGGCUCCAAUGAAAAUACAUGUGGCCUAACACGAGCAGAAAUAAACACAAUUCUAAUCAACUUAACUGUUGACAAAAGCAUGUGGUUUCAUUGCUUGCGGCCAAAGUUGUAAGAGUGGACUCUGAUUUCUUGCAGGAACACCCCUCAUUUAUGUGUGCAAAUAGGGUAAUUAAGUGUCCAAUUACCAGAUUUGCAUUGGCAAAUGGGGGCUUUGUGUGGGUAAAAUUCUCCAUGGUUUGGGACCAGCUGAAACUUAGGUCUUUUCUUUUUGGAUCAAUCCCCCAACAAUAACACGGGCAUGAUGAAGUUCCCUUCUUGUCCUGAUCUGAAGCCAUGGCUGAAGACUUCCCUUAUUUUGGUAAUUCAGUGAAGCGGAGAGCCAAAGUUAGGAUCUGGGGCCUUUUCUUCCUUACUGUCUACUCUGAAAAAUAAUUAAGCAUUUCAAGUAUUUUCAGACUGACUUUUUUUUUUUCCUGCUGGCUCUGUAGAAUUGAUUACUAAGGUGAAAUACUUGUAAAUAUUCCUUUUAAAAAUUUAACCAUAUGGAAGCAUUAAGUUGAAAGACACUUCAUAAAACAACUUUAUUCUUUUCU